rnacentral:rRNA from 1 species
AGAGUUUGAUCCUGGCUCAGAUUGAACGCUGGCGGCAGGCCUAACACAUGCAAGUCGAGCGGUAGAGAGAAGCUUGCUUCUCUUGAGAGCGGCGGACGGGUGAGUAAUGCCUAGGAAUCUGCCUGGUAGUGGGGGAUAACGUUCGGAAACGGACGCUAAUACCGCAUACGUCCUACGGGAGAAAGCAGGGGACCUUCGGGCCUUGCGCUAUCAGAUGAGCCUAGGUCGGAUUAGCUAGUUGGUGAGGUAAUGGCUCACCAAGGCGACGAUCCGUAACUGGUCUGAGAGGAUGAUCAGUCACACUGGAACUGAGACACGGUCCAGACUCCUACGGGAGGCAGCAGUGGGGAAUAUUGGACAAUGGGCGAAAGCCUGAUCCAGCCAUGCCGCGUGUGUGAAGAAGGUCUUCGGAUUGUAAAGCACUUUAAGUUGGGAGGAAGGGCAUUAACCUAAUACGUUAGUGUUUUGACGUUACCGACAGAAUAAGCACCGGCUAACUCUGUGCCAGCAGCCGCGGUAAUACAGAGGGUGCAAGCGUUAAUCGGAAUUACUGGGCGUAAAGCGCGCGUAGGUGGUUCGUUAAGUUGGAUGUGAAAUCCCCGGGCUCAACCUGGGAACUGCAUUCAAAACUGUCGAGCUAGAGUAUGGUAGAGGGNGGNGGAAUUUCCUGUGUAGCGGNGAAAUGCGUAGAUAUAGGAAG